UUUUAUGAGAGUUUGAUCCUGGCUCAGGACGAACGCUGGCGGCGUGCCUAAUACAUGCAAGUCGUACGCUUCUUUUUCCACCGGAGCUUGCUCCACCGGAAAAAGAAGAGUGGCGAACGGGUGAGUAACACGUGGGUAACCUGCCCAUCAGAAGGGGAUAACACUUGGAAACAGGUGCUAAUACCGUAUAACAAUCGAAACCGCAUGGUUUUGAUUUGAAAGGCGCUUUCGGGUGUCGCUGAUGGAUGGACCCGCGGUGCAUUAGCUAGUUGGUGAGGUAACGGCUCACCAAGGCCACGAUGCAUAGCCGACCUGAGAGGGUGA
rnacentral:rRNA from 1 species